AUCUAGCUGACUAAUCCCAAGUAGGACGAAAUCCGCAUCCUGGAU
rfam:Schistosoma margrebowiei strain Zambia genome assembly, scaffold: SMRZ_scaffold0001191